rnacentral:rRNA from 1 species
UGGGGAAUAUUGCACAAUGGGCGCAAGCCUGAUGCAGCCAUGCCGCGUGUGUGAAGAAGGCCUUCGGGUUGUAAAGCACUUUCAGCGAGGAGGAAGGUGGUGGACUUAAUACGUUCAUCAAUUGACGUUACUCGCAGAAGAAGCACCGGCUAACUCCGUGCCAGCAGCCGCGGUAAUACGGAGGGUGCAAGCGUUAAUCGGAAUUACUGGGCGUAAAGCGCACGCAGGCGGUUUGUUAAGUCAGAUGUGAAAUCCCCGGGGCUCAACCUGGGAACUGCAUUUGAAACUGGCAAGCUAGAGUCUCGUAGAGGGGGGCUAGAAUUCCAGGUGUAGCGGUGAAAUGCGUAGAGAUCUGGAGGAAUACCGGUGGCG